GCCGUUCUUGCGUAACGUGCGUUUCAAAAAGCCGAGGAACACUUUCGUCCGGUUUGCAUAUAAUUUUUGAAUUUAGAAUUCUUUCGAUGUAGAAUCUCGGCGUGAUAACGAUGCGUAACCAAUAGGUCUCGCUGAUCUUUCGGUCUAAUGGAAGAUUUAUGAGGAAAUGGCGCUCUUUUUGGUCGUGCGUGUCGCUUUGCAAGGAUUCUCGUCCUCGCGAUGCGUCGCAGAAGCUUCCAUGACCGAGCAAACCGCGCCAACAGGUUGUCUUCCGAAAAGCCUGAGCGUUAAUUUCGCCCGGAUUCGCAUGCAGGAGGGCAGUGCCGGUGUCACCGCAUGGCGCGGCACGACGUCUCAUCGGUCAGCACAAAGGCGAUACAUGAGGCUGCGCAGAAUCGUAUCGGCUAACACGAGUUAGACGAGCCGUAUUUAAUUGUGCAUCAGUGUGAAAAGGGACCUUGGAAAGAAUGUUGUCGAUAGUACGUACGGUCUCGCCCUCGAUAAUUAUUCUUUUGAUACUCGAGCGUUAUUUCGGAGCCCGCGGUUCCUCGAUCAAGUCCUUGGACGUGCCGCUGGUCGUUCGCAACGGAACCGGCCCGGUGGAUCUCGCCUGCGUCUACGAGGUUGACGACGAGGAGAACGGACUUGUAAUCAAAUGGUUUCACGAAGCGUAUCAGAUCUACCAAUGGAUUCCGCCGAUACAACCGCAGGAUGUCGGGAUCAUCAAGGGCCUCGCGGAGUACCCGCCCGAGAACUUGAAGAAUCCGUACACGCGCUCUGUGAUCCGACUGAAGACCGUUACCGUUGAUAUGACAGGAGAGUACACGUGCGCGAUCAGCACAUUCCAAGAUGAGGCGAGCAACUCGACAAGGAUGAUCGUCUACGUGCCGGAAAGUGACAUGACCGUGCGUACUUACCCCUUCAACAAGACUCAUGUGAAUUUAACCUGCGUGGUGACCGGCGCGCGACCUCGACCGUCUUUGAAGCUCUACGUGGAGGGUGUCGAGAGCGACGAUCGCGGAAACGACCGCGAGUCUUCGAUGGACUGGUACAAGGGUAAUCCUCGAGUGUCGCUGAAUGUGGUCGUCGAGGACACGCUGGACCCCGCGGUGGUCGAGUGCGAGAUGUCGAUUCCUGAGACGGAGUACAAACGACGAGAGCGGAUCGUCUACUACCCCACGCAAUUACUUGCCUAUCGCACAAAUGUUUCGCAAGGGAGGCAUCGUGCCAAGUCGUUGCUUGUCGUUGAUAUCCUUUACGUUACUAUUAUCAGAUUGAUAUUAACGUAGGAUUAAAGUAGUUCAUUCUGCGCUACGAAUAACGCUGACACGUUAAAACGGCAGUGUUUCUCUCAAAAAUGACAUGUGACAUACCGUGCGAGGACCUCGUGAAGUGAACUUUGUUGACCAGAGCUUGCACAACUUAACUUUGAGCACGCUCUGAUGUAUCACUAUAUUGAAAUGAUAAGGCGAUUGCGUGCGUCGGGGGUGGAAGAGGUAAUCUCAGAUGGUGGGGAUAUCUAGAAGCAGCGGUACCCCACAGGAUUAUCAUUCGCUUCCCGGCGCUCACCUGUAGAGGCAUCCACUUUCGUAACCGAAAUCACCAAUCUCUCCGGCGUUGCGAAUACUUCACAAAAAUGAGUCGC